GAAAGCUUUGGAUACCUGAAGUGGUUCUCAUUGUUAUUUUGUAUUGUAGAAACUGAAAGAACAGAGUCAUUUCUCUCAGCCCUCAUUGCUGCCACAAAGAAAAGAACACAGUCACGGGAAGAACACAUUCGUUUUCAAUUUUCCUUCUCUCUCUAGAAAACCCCCAGAGAUUCACGGUGCUCUUGCCAUGUUCAAAACUCGCAACCCAACCAGUAAGUCAAACCUCCAUGUCACAGCAGCUCCUGCAUCCUCUCGAAGAGGUGCCUCCGUAGCCUUCCAGCCUGCACAACUGAAGAGUGACGAUGCUGAAGGAAGUCCCCCAAACUUGCAGAUUUGAGCCCAUCUACACCACGGACACUGAUUGUCAACAAAAUCCGAAACCAGUCGGUGUCUGCCAUAGAAAAGAACGCACAGUGCAGCUCCAAUCAUCACACAGAGGUGCUUGAGCUGGAUGCUGGACAGCAGCAAGGACACGGCACAGAGGCGACAUUGCGGACCUGAGGCAUGCAGAGGGAAAAUACCCCAGAUCGGCAAAGGAAACGUGAUGACAAAACCAUUAGCUUACGCUGAAGAAUGGCCGCUUAGCAAAAUAGAGAGCUCAUAAACUUCUAUCUCCAGUCAUUUUAGAGCUCAGUGGGCGAUUCCUACACGUAAGAGUUUAUAAGCUGGUCCUUCCUGAGGUGCGGCAUUGUCUUAACUUUGAUUAACAUGUUUUUUGGCAGUCAUUUAAGUUUCAUUGUGAACUGUUUGGAUCCCAAGUUUAGAUAAAAGUAGAUGAAGUUGUGUACAUUCACCUGAAGCUUAUGAAUCUUGUAAUGUCUGUCAAAAUCCAUUUCACACUCAAUACUCAGGACAAUCCCAAAAGCAAAAAACAAAGUAGAAAAAUUCAAGUUUCUUUUCCAAACAACACAAGUUACACAACCAAGCUGUUGUUCAAGUCUAUCAUUCAUAACCAACAACUGACUAGCUAACUAAUAGUCUAAUAUAAUGGUUAACUAAUAUAAAUGAAUCUACUGUAUUGACUUCACUGCAGCUCUCACUUCUCCUUUACUUUUCCCAUCAUUUCCAGCUUUUAAGUUGUUUGAUACUUUUAUUUUUUCCAUUUUAGAUGGACACUCUACAUAUUGGGUACUUUAAGUUGCAACUACACCAUAUGAGAAAUACCCACAAAUAGGGCUUAGUCAGUAAACAUGUUGUAUAAUACAUCUCACCCACCAUUAUAAACCAAAGAGGCAAAUUAUGAUCACAUCUAGACAGAACACUAAAAUUGCAGAAAAUUAUCUACAUAAAAGAAUUACCUUAAUUCAAGAGUUUCUCAAAUCACCCUACUUUGCUGUAUAUCUCCAAGUGCUAGUAAAAUUAACUCUGUGAUUCAUUCUCCUGAGAUUGCAGAUGCUCUCAAAGAGCACACCCAAAAACCCUUGAAAUGACUUGCUCAAUAUCAUAUCUAUCUCUGCGAUACCCAACUAUAGAGAAAAACAAGGUCAAACUAUUAUAUUUAUGUCUCACAAAAACUAAGCAACUAGAACCAUAAUAUAAGAAAAUUUUCUUACCCUGUGUUUAGCACCCAUGACGAUAUACUGGCUAAGUUUCAGGAAAUCGAGCAUAUUGGACCCCUUGUAGUUGGGUGUGGUAAUCUCUCAUAAGAUGUCUCAACCUUGACCCAUAAUCUUGUAGCUCAAACAAUGUCUUCCAGUCAAAGGUUAAAAGAUCUCCACCGUGAGAUGCAUAAAUAUUCUCCAGCUCAAUAGUCACCAACCUAAAGAUAUAACCUUGGGUGCAAUUGACAAAAUUAUGGGUUUAAAAAAAAAUUCACAUAACUCCAAAUUUGUAAGCCAAUCCGUUUUUUGGGCGUCGGAAGUGAAAGAUAGCUGAGUAAAUCUUCAAAGCACCUAUAAUAGAAAAAACAAAACAUAACAAUUGAAUUAUUUGUUGUAAUUCUAAUUAAAUGUUAAAUAAGAAAAGAAAAACAUGAAAAAUAAAAUCAAUUUACAUUGGAAGUAGCGUUAAGUUAUGUAGCGUUUCAAGUUCAACUAUUUUGCCGUUAUGACUCAGUUUGUCAAUUACCUCUCAAAUAAUGCUCCUAAAACUCACUAUCGGGUCAGUCCGUUUUGGAAUGGCACAUCUAACUCUACUGGCCACCAAAUACAGUGAGUGCCAACCAAAUGAUGUAACCGGAUAAGGAUUUCGUUUGAGAUCACCCACUAUCUUCACCGUAUUUCUAUCAAUAAAGAAGAGAAAGAAUGAAAAAAAAAAAGUGAAAAAACAACUAGUACGAUGUAUACAAUUGAAAACACAAAAAAAAAAAAAUAUCAUUCAUCUCAAUAUCAACUUGAACUUCGAUGUGAGUAUUUCACUAUCAAUUUGUUUCAACUCAAAUGUACUAUUCUUCAUCAAUUGAAAUAGGAUGGAGUUUAUCUCUGUAGAGAUGAUCAAGAUUUUACCAUCCACAAAUUUGAUCAUAUAACUUGGAUAAUUUGAACUUAUUUCACAAAUUUGAUAGGAAGAAGUCGUAUAUAUAUCCAAGUUAUAUGAACAAAUUUGUGGAUGACAAAGUCUUGAUCAUCUCUACAAAGAUGGACUCCACCCUAUUUCAGUUGAUGAAGAAUAGUCCACUUGAGUGGAAACAAAUUGAUAGUGAAAUUCUCACAUCGAAGUUCAAGUUGAUAUUGAGGUAAGUGAUAUUUUUUAUUUUGUGUUUUCAUUUGUAUACAUCGUACUAGUUGUUUUUUACUUUUUUUUUCAUUCUUUCUUUUCUUUAUUGGUAGAAAUACAAUAGAGAUAGUGAGUGAUCUCAAAGAAAAGUCUUAUCCAGCUACAUCCUUUGGUUGACAUUCACUGUAUUUGGUGGUCAGUAGAGUUGAAUGUGUCAUUCCAAAACGGACUAACCUGAUAGUGAGUUUUGGGAGCAUUAUUCGAGAGUUAAUUGACAAACUGAGUCAUAAGGGCACAAUAGUUGAACUUGAAACGCUACGUAACUUGACGCUACUUCUUAUGUAAGUUGAUUUUAAUUUUCAUGUUUUUCUUUUCUUAUUUAACAUUUAAUUAGAAUUACAACAAAUAAUUCAAUUGUUAUAUUUUGUUUUUUCUAUUACAGGUGCGUUGAAGAUCUGCUCAGCCAUCUUUCACUUCUGAGGCCCAAAAAACAGAUUGGCUUACAAAUUUAGAAUUACGCAAAAUUUUUUCAAACCUAUAAUUUUGUUAAUUGUUGGUGACUAUUGAGCUGGAGAACGUGUAUGCAUCUCACGGUGGAGAUCUUUUAACCUUGGACUGAAAGACAUUGUUUGAGCUACAAGAUUACGGGUCAAUGUUGAGACAUAUUGUGAGAGAUUACCACACCCAACUACAAGGGGUACAAUAUGCUCGAUUUCUUGAAACUUAGCCAGCAUAUCGCCAUGAAUGCUAAAGCACAGGAGAUAGAUAUGAUAUUGAGCAAUUCAUUUCCGAGGUUUUUGGGCGUGCUCUUUGAGAGCAUCUGCAAUCUCAGUAGAAAGAAUCAGAGUUAAUUUUACUAGCACUUGGAGAUACACAACAAAGUAGGGUGAUUUGGAAAACUCUUGAAGUAAGGCAAUUCUUUUAUGCAGCUAGUUUUCUGCAAUUUUAAUGUUAUGUCUAGAUGUGAUCAUAUUUUACCUCUUUGGUAUAUAAUGGUGGGUGCGCGAUGGUAUACAACAUGUUUACUGACUGAGCCGUGGGUAUUUCUCAUGUGGUGUAGUUACCAAGGAAAAGAAACUUGUGUUGUUCAGAGUGAGAAAAGUAAAGGAGAAGUACCAAACAACUUACAAGUUGGAAAGGAUGGGAAAAGGAAAGGAGGCUGCAGUGAAGUCAAUACAGUAGAUUCACUUAUAUUAGCUAGUCAUUAUAUUAGACUAUUAGUUAGUUAGCUAGUCAUUUUCUUGGAGGUAGAUCGUUGAUCACCAUCAGUUCAUUGUCAUCGAUAUCAGUCGGCCAUAUUAUACAAGAAAAGUUGAGUGUCGUGUUGGGUUGUUUGGAAAAGAAACUUUUUUGUUUCUGCUUUUGAGAUUGUAUUGAGUGAAGGGGAUUUUCAGACAUUGUUUAAGGUUCAUAUGAAUGUACACAGCUUUUAUACUUCAUUCUUCUCUCCAUGGGAGGAAGAAAAGCCAAGGAAAAGAUAUCCUUGAAUAUUUUGUGACUAUUCUUUUCGCCAAUAUCCCCGAGGAUAUUGGGUGAAGAAAUAAGAUUUCAAAUAUUUUCGUCCAUGAAACA